rnacentral:lncRNA from 1 species
UUCAUCUUGAUGUUUGGGGUCCUUUUCAAGUUCCAACUCAUGAAGGGUACAAAUAUUUCUUUACAAUUGUUGACGAUUGUACUAGAGUGACUUGGGUUUACUUGCUUAAAAAUAAAAGUUCUGUUUCAACUGUCUUCCCUGAGUUUUUACAUCUGAUUCAUACUCAAUAUAACUCUAAGAUCAAGGCCAUUAGAUCAGAUAAUGCACCAGAAUUAGCUUUCACAGAUCUUCUAACAGAAAAUGGGAUUGAGCACUAUUUUUCUUGCCCUUAUACUCCUCAGCAAAACUCAGUUGUCGAAAGGAAACAUCAACACAUCUUAAAUGUGGCUAGAGCUUUACUUUUUCAAUCAAAAGUUCCUUUGAUCUAUUGGGGAGAAUGCAUUCAAACAGCUAUAUACUUAAUAAAUCGAACUCCUUCUCCUUUGUUACAAAACAAAUCACCUUUUGAGCUUUUAAUACAUAAAGUUCCUUCUUAUGAUCAUUUACGUAUUUUUGGCUGCUUAUGCUACACAUCUACCCUACAAAAAGAUCGUAAUAAGUUUUCUCCUCGAGCUAAUCCAGGUGUUUUCCUUGGUUAUCCACAUGGGUACAAAGGUUAUAGGGUUCUUGAUACAACGACUAACAGAAUCAUCAUUUCUAGAAAUGUAGUUUUUCAUGAAUCAUCUUUUCCAUUUGCAAAAGACUCUACUAAUCUAGAUGCUGAGAAUUCUUUGUUUGAUCAAGAUGUGUUACCUAUGCCUGUUCCAGAUUCAUCCUUUCCUGCCUUCUUUGACUUAGGAUCUGAGGUUCCCUCUUCGGUUUUCGUUGACCAAAAUACAAUGUUUUCUUCUCCACCUACGCCUCAUGUUCCUCAUUCAUCUCCUUUACAAUCUUUUGUACCUCAUGAUUCUCCUAACUCUUUAGCACCUCUUGUCUCUCGUCCUAACUCUACUACUUGCACUUCUUCUAUUCCUAGUUCUUCCUCUGUUCCAUUAGUACCAUCGGGAGUUUCUAGGACUGAAACAAGGUCAAAAAGGCAGACUAAAGCACCUGCAUAUCUUGACAAGUAUCAUUGUUAUUUGUUAGAUCAUUCUUCUGAGAUUCCUGUGCAUUCUACCCAUACUACUUCAUAUCCUAUUUCUUCAUUCCUUUGUUAUGAUAAGUUUGAUCCCGAACACAGAAAUUUUAUCCUUUCUAUCACUACCCACAAAUUACCCAAAACCUAUGCUGAAGCUGUUCUGUCUGAUGAGUUCAAACGAGCUAUGAAAUCUGAAAUGGGUUCUCUUGAAGAUACUGGUACUUGGACAGUUUGCGACCUACCCCCAGGGAAACAUCCCGUUGGUUGUAAGUGGGUCCACACGAUCAAAUACAACCCUGAUGGCACGAUUGAGAGACACAAGUCCCGGCUUGUUGCGAAAGGCUAUACACAGUUAGAGGGACUUGAUUACUUGGACACUUUCUCCCCUGUUGCCAAAAUUGGCACUCUGCGUUUACUUCUGAGUCUUGCUGCUGCAAAAGAUUGGUCGAUAACACAGCUGGAUAUCAGUAAUGCAUUUCUCAAUGGAGAUCUAGAUGAAGAGAUAUAUAUGCGAUUGCCUGAAGGUUAUGAAGAUUUAACAGGCAAGAAAUGUCCUCCAAAUUCUGUUUGCAAGCUCCAUAAGUCUCUCUAUGGACUCAAACAGGCGUCUCGCCAAUGGAACCAGAAGUUAUCAAGUGUAAUUCUUGGAGAUGGGUUUACACGAACACACUCGGAUCAUUCCUUGUUCAUCAAGUAUGUCAACAAGGUGUUUUUGGCAGUUCUUGUGUAUGUUGAUGACAUUCUCAUUGUGGCGAAUGAUGAUUUGGCUACUACUCAGUUCAAAGAGGUUCUGCAGUCUGCUUUCAAGUUGAGAGAUCUUGGUCCAGCGAAAUAUUUUUUGGGCUUUGAGAUUGCUAGAAACAAGACUGGGAUUUCUUUGAAUCAACGCAAGUAUACUCUUGAGUUACUUGAGGAGGCUGGAUUAUUGGGUUGUAAGCCUCUUUCGGUUCCUAUGGAACCUAACCUCAAGCUAUCAACAACAACUGGUACUCGUCUUCCUGAUGCUUCUAUAUAUCGAAGACUUGUGGGCAGGUUGUUGUAUUUGACACAUACGCGACCGGAUAUCACAUAUGCAGUUCAUAAGUUGAGCCAGUACAUGUCUGCUCCUACUGAUGCUCAUCUUCAAGCUGCAUUUCGUGUUCUUCGUUAUUUGAAGAAUGAUCCAGGUCAAGGACUUUUUUACUCAACAACGUCUACACUGAAGCUUACUGCUUACUCGGAUGCAGACUGGGCAGCUUGUCCUGAUUCACGACAAUCAAUCACUGGUUACUGUGUCUUCCUUGGGGAUUCUUUGAUUUCUUGGCGAUCCAAGAAGCAACCAACUGUAUCAAGGAGCAGCUCUGAAGCAGAGUACAGAGCCAUGGCAGAUGCUACUUGUGAACUCGUGUGGUUAACUGCGAUAUUGACUGAGAUGCAUUGCUCUCCCUCUGUUCCUGCGACUCUCUUUUGUGAUAAUCAGUCUGCACUAUACAUCGCGUCGAAUCCUGUCUAUCAUGAGCGGACAAAACACGUUGAGAUCGACUGCCAUGUGGUUCGAGAGAAGCUACAGAGUGGUUUUUUGAAGACUCUACAUGUUCAUUCUGCACUACAGCUAGCUGACAUUUUAACCAAGGCGGUCCAACCUGCUCUGUUCAAGUCAUUACUCAGCAAUAUUGGUAUCCACAGCUUGUGUCUUCCAUCUUGAGGGGGGGGUAUUAGAGUAUAAGACUGGUUAUCAUGAUAGUAAGAUUGAACCGGUGGUUUACUUGUAUAGACCGGAUAGUAUGAUAGUAUAAAUACAUGUACAAUACACUGUAAAGAAAAGGAUGAAAUACAUAUUUUUCUACUUUCUAAUAGUAACAAACUCAUCUUCUUCAUCUUGAGCUCAAGCUCUAAUAUUCCAGUACCCCGCCGGUGAAUUUUUCACUGGAUACAACCCGUUGAUAUUGAUUCCGAUAGUGUUAUCGUUAAUAUCAGUGUGCUCUGUAUUGUGAAUCGUGUUUAAUUCAACAGCGAAUAUAUCAUUUGUUUCAUUACGUGUGAUAUUGGGACUGAAGAGCCCGAGGUGUUCGGAGCUGAAAUUGGCGACCGGAAGGACGAAGUUAGGAGCCACGACAAAGGCGAUGCCGUGGCCGUUAAGUGUCUUGAACACGGAGCGGAUGGCGAAGACAAACGUUGUGGAGAAAGACGAGACGGUGCCGUUUGGAGAGUCUUUGAACCGAAUUGGUUGGUUAUAGAAGGCGUGACCGGUUCCUUGCCCUGUAUAAUAAUCGGUUAGCUUUAGUAGACCCCUGGGUAUGACGCUGGCGAUCCCUUGGAGGGUUAUGUUAGCAGUCAAUGGAGGAUAGAAGCCAUUGUAAAUGAAGUUGUCGAGAGAUUGGGAAGAGGAUUUUUGGAGUUGAGAGAGUAGACAGACGAAGAAGAAGACGAUGGUGAGGAGCUUCACGAACAUGGCUAUCUAUUUUUUUCUCUAUGAACUUUUUUUUGGUAUGUGUUUGAGAUUCUGAGAAAUCAAGUCAAUUUAUGGUGUGGAGAGAAAGUAGAAAAAUCGUAUUUCCCCAUAGGGAAAAUUCGUAGCUUAACCUUAAUGCAAAGACUUCAGUGCUUGACCUAUUGGUUUCGCUGUCACAGAUAAUAGUAACAGGAGAUUAUAUCAAGUGGGUGGAUGGGUAAAUAUUUUAAAAGAUUCUAACUACAAAAUACUGACAAAAUUCACUGAAAACUAUAUAGCCGUGUUGAUUAUUUUAAUGGUUUCGAUUUCUACAAAUAGUAAAAUUAUACUGCUGAGAACUUUUAAAGAGUUUCUCCAAUCACUGGAGAUGCUCUACGUCCGUACCCCUGAUAACUCAUCCGACCGAUACUCACC